AGAGUUUGAUCCUUGGUUCAGGAUGACCGCUAGCGGCAGGCUUAACACAUGCAAGUCGAGGGGCAGCAUGUCCAGCAAUGGAUGAUGGCGACCGGCGGAAGGGUGCGUAACGCGUGAGCAACAUGCCCUAUACAGGGAGAUACACCAGGGAAACUUGGUCUAAUAUCCCAUAGCAUUCAUUGAAGGCAUCUUUAAUGAAUUAAAGCUUCGGUGGUAUAGGAUUGGCUCGCGUGACAUUAGCCAGAUGGUGAGGUAACGGCUCACCAUAGCAAUGAUGUCUAGGGGUUUUGAGAGGAAGGCCCCCCACACUGGGACUGAGACACGGCCCAGACUCCUACGGGAGGCAGCAGUGAGGAAUAUUGGACAAUGGAUGGAAAUCUGAUCCAGCCAUGCCGCGUGCAGGAAGACGGCCUUAUGGGUUGUAAACUGCUUUUAUACGGGAGCAAUAAGGGUUACGAGUAAUUCGAUGAGAGUACUGUAUGAAUAAGGAUCGGCUAACUCCGUGCCAGCAGCCGCGGUAAUACGGAGGAUCCGAGCGUUAUCCGGAAUUAUUGGGUUUAAAGGGUGCGUAGGCGGACAUGUAAGUCAGUGGUGAAAUCUUGCAGCUUAACUGUAGCAUAGCCGUUGAAACUGUUUUUCUUGAGUACAUUUGUGGUAGGCGGAAUGUGUUGUGUAGCGGUGAAAUGCAUAGAUAUCCCACAGAACACCGAUUGCGAAGGCAGCUCACUAAAUUGUCACUGACGCUGAUGCACGAAAGCGUGGGAUCAAACAGGAUUAGAUACCCUGGUAGUCCACGCUGUAAACGAUGAUUAUCGGUGUCUGCGAUACACUGCCAGUGCCUGAGCGAAAGC
rnacentral:rRNA from 1 species